rnacentral:rRNA from 1 species
UACGUAGGGGGCGAGCGUUGUCCGGAUUUACUGGGCGUAAAGGGUGAGUAGGCGGUUAUAUAUGUCAGGUGUAAAAGGCUAUGGCUUAACCAUGGUUAGCACUUGAAACUGUAUGACUUGAGUACAGGAGAGGAAAGCGGAAUUCCUAGUGUAGCGGUGAAAUGCGUAGAUAUUAGGAGGAACACCAGUGGCGAAGGCGGCUUUCUGGACUGAUACUGACGCUGAGGAACGAAAGCGUGGGGAGCAAACAGGAUUAGAUACCCGGGUAGUCCCUGA